GACGAACGCUGGCGGCGUGCUUAACACAUGCAAGUCGAACGGAAACGCCCUGCUUUUGUGCGGUGCUCGAGUGGCGAACGGGUGAGUAACACGUGAGUAACCUGCUCUUGACUUUGGGAUAACUUCAGGAAACUGGGGCUAAUACCGGAUCGGAGCUCCUGCUGCAUGGUGGGCGUUGGAAAGUUUCGGCGGUUGGGGAUGGACUCGCGGCUUAUCAGCUUGUUGGUGGGGUAGUGGCUUACCAAGGCUUUGACGGGUAGCCGGCCUGGGAGGGUGACCGGGCACAAUGGGACUGAGAGAGGGCCCAGACUCCUACGGGAGGCAGAAGUGGGGAAUAUUGCACAAUGGGCGGAAGCCUGAUGCAGCAGCGCCGCGUGCGGGAAGACGGUCUUCGGGUAGUAAACCGCUUUAGCCUGUGACGAAGCGUGAGUGACGGUAAUGGGUAAAGAAGCACCGGCUAACUACGUG
rnacentral:rRNA from 1 species